UAGAGUCAGGUAGAUAGACGUCUUACAGAUAACCUGUGUGUUGUGUUGUACGGCUGUGGACAAUCCGAUGUACUGUACGUCAGCUGGCUUCGCGGGUUCAGGUGACACGAGAUGUUAGAGGUUGCGCGCACUAACUCUAUACAUCCUGGUGACACGGAGUAGACAACGUGAAUAUACGACUGGGUAACAGAGCCGCAAGAGAGCUGAAGAUAGUACAAGGACGUUCUCACUCUAUGAAGGUGUAUUCGAGUCAUGAUUCGACUCAUGAUGACGCUGGUUCUACGACGUCCACACUCACAACAUACACUGGAUGUAAAUAUCAGACUGACGACGUCGACAGCAGCGCCAUCAUCUGUUAUUUCAGCUGGAUAACAUUUGGAGGGGAUCGGAGAAUCGAUUCUGUGGGAUUUUGUUUUCAAUAAAUUUUUGGGACCACGUUUGUUGAGUGAAUGCUCCGAAACAUUGUUCAUGGCUUGACGAGCAAGGAGAUCGGUUAUGUUUUCGCUUUAGAUGUUCUGGUCAUAAGAGUUUAAUUGAAGGCAUCCUGCAAACCUGGGUGUAAUGUUAAUCUCUGAUAUAUAUAUAUCCAAUACACUGUGAACACUAAGACAGGAAAACUCAAACCAAUAAAGGGAGCUAAAUUGUGUAUUAAUACAGGAGAGGAAAACUCAAAAAUAACAAGAACACGGGAG